AUGGCAGAAGUCCCUGCUAAGAUUCCUUGGUGCUUACCAUGUAAAGCUGUCGGGCUUCUAGCAGGAGGCCAGUGGCCAGCCACGAAGUGGUUGAAUCUGCCUAGAGUAACCAUUGACCAGCCCCAGAAACUAAUCAAGGGUGAAAUACAUGUGAACUGGCAAGCCUAGAUUCGAGAGGACAAGCGGGAAAGAGUGUCAUCAGAGAGUCUGCUGGGAGAGAAUGGAUAAAAGAAUCUCUGUUCAUUCUAACAUCAGGCUACAGCACUGAGCUUCUAAUGAGAGAGGAUGGAGCUCGUAGACGCUCCAGUUGGAUCGUGGCCUUUGAUUCCGUGUGGCAUCCUGGCUCCAGGGUGGCGUCCCGUGGCACCCACUCAUGCUGUGGUUUGACCUAUUAGAAGGACCCAUAGCCCUGAUGAUCUGGAAGACUGCACAGCCAUUGCAAUGCCUUACUCAACUUGCUUCUCUGCUAUCAUAGAUGAAGUGUCCGUUAUCAAAUCAUAAGCGUCCCCACGCUUAUGCGAGUGACCCUUGCGUUUCCCUGGCCACUCACUCCAUGGUGUUUUGACAAGACUUUCCUGUAGAGACCACAGUUGCCGCCAAGCACCCUGCACAGGACAGCUCCCUUCUGGCCCCAGUGAAGAACUCUGCUGGUGUUGAGACAACAUGGACCGGUAAAUAGGAAGCCCUUUACUGGCUGACAGGGUUGAUCUGCGGUUCGCACAGUGCAGCCUUCCUCAUUGCUGUGCAGGAACUCCCACUUCGGAAGAAUGAAUGAAAUUACGCAUGCAACGCCGGUGCGGCCUGGUCACUGGUUGCUGGGCAAAAGCUAAGUCCUCACUGCCAGCUAACUCAUCCUGGAGGGCCUAUGGCAGACUCUGGGACAUUCUUCAAUUCUUCCCACCCAUCCCCUCUUCGCUUUAGGCCUUGUUUCCCAUGGCCGUCUCCUCAUUGGGAACAGGAGUGGCCUUGGACACCUUUCAAAUGCGGGGGAGUUGGGAAGCCACACCUCAGUCUGCUUUUCUAUCUGCCAAAUUAUUAAAUUCCUCGUAGCCUUUCCUCUGGG